rnacentral:sRNA from 1 species
AAGAAACCUUUAGAAGAGCUGGUCAUUAUGCCAACCGGGUGUCUGCAAUAAACUUGGCAUGAAUAUGGUGACCUACUGGGAGCAGGGGGCCACCAGGUUGUCUAAGGAUGAGUGAACUGGCCCAGAUCAGAAAGGGAGCAGUUCAGAACUCCCACACCGACCGGUAGUGGGACUGUGCCUGGGCAAUAUAGCAAGAUCUUGGUUCUU